rnacentral:rRNA from 1 species
AGUAACGCGUGAGUAACCUGCCUUUCAGAGGGGAAUAACAUUCUGAAAAGGAUGCUAAUACCGCAUAAUGUCACAGUAUCGCAUGGUACAGUGACCAAAGGAGCAAUCCGCUGAAAGAUGGACUCGCGUCCGAUUAGCUAGUUGGCGGGAUAAAGGCCCACCAAGGCAACGAUCGGUAGCCGGACUGAGAGGUUGAUCGGCCACAUUGGGACUGAGACACGGCCCAGACUCCUACGGGAGGCAGCAUG